UACGUAGGGGGCAAGCGUUGUCCGGAUUUACUGGGCGUAAAGGAUGCGUAGGCGGACAUUUAAGUCAGAUGUGAAAUACCCGAGCUUAACUUGGGUGCUGCAUUUGAAACUGGGUGUCUAGAGUGCAGGAGAGGUAAGUGGAAUUCCUAGUGUAGCGGUGAAAUGCGUAGAGAUUAGGAAGAACACCAGUGGCGAAGGCGACUUACUGGACUGUAACUGACGCUGAGGCAUGAAAGCGUGGGGAGCAAACAGG
rnacentral:rRNA from 1 species